CACAUGGUGACAGUUGUUAAAGCGGGGGAUCUUCGGACCUCGCGCCUAGAGAGGAGCCUGCGGCGGAUUAGCUAGUUGGUGGGGUAAUGGCUCACCAAGGCAACGAUCCGUAGCCGGCCUGAGAGGGCGGUCGGCCACACUGGCACUGACAUACGGGCCAGACUCCUACGGGAGGCAGCAGUCGGGAAUUUUGGGCAAUGGGCGAAAGCCUGACCCAGCAACGCCGCGUGGAGGAUGAAGUUUCUCGGAAUGUAAACUCCGUAAGAAUGGGACGAAUAAAAAGGGGUUAACACCCUCUUUGAUGACGGUACCAUUCGUAAGCUCCGGCUAACUCCGUGCCAGCAGCCGCGGUAAUACGGGGGGAGCAAGCGUUGUUCGGAUUUACUGGGCGUAAAGGGCGCGUAGGCGGCGCAACAAGUCACUUGUGAAAUCUCCGGGCUUAACCCGGAGCGGCCAAGUGAUACUGUCGUGCUAGAGUGCGGAAGGGGCUACUGGAAUUCCUGGUGUAGCGGUGAAAUGCGCAGAUAUCAGGAGGAACACCGGUGGCGAAGGCGGGUCUCUGGGCCGAUACUGACGCUGAGGAGCG
rnacentral:rRNA from 1 species